rnacentral:rRNA from 1 species
UGGGGAAUAUUGCACAAUGGGCGCAAGCCUGAUGCAGCCAUGCCGCGUGUGUGAAGAAGGCCUUCGGGUUGUAAAGCACUUUCAGCGAGGAGGAAGGGUUCAGUGUUAAUAGCACUGUUCAUUGACGUUACUCGCAGAAGAAGCACCGGCUAACUCCGUGCCAGCAGCCGCGGUAAUACGGAGGGUGCAAGCGUUAAUCGGAAUUACUGGGCGUAAAGCGCACGCAGGCGGUUUGUUAAGUCAGAUGUGAAAUCCCCGCGCUUAACGUGGGAACUGCAUUUGAAACUGGCAAGCUAGAGUCUUGUAGAGGGGGGUAGAAUUCCAGGUGUAGCGGUGAAAUGCGUAGAGAUCUGGAGGAAUACCGGUGGCGAAGGCGGCCCCCUGGACAAAGACUGACGCUCAGGUGCGAAAGCGUGGGGAGCAAAACAGGAUUAGAUACCCUGGUAGUCCACGCUGUAAACGAUGUCGACUUGGAGGUUGUGCCCUUGAGGCGUGGCUUCCGGAGCUAACGCGUUAAGUCGACCGCCUGGGGGAGUACGGCCGCAAGGUUAAAAAC